UACGGAGGGUGCAAGCGUUAAUCGGAAUUACUGGGCGUAAAGCGUGCGCAGGCGGUUUGUUAAGUCUGUUGUGAAAUCCCCGAGCUCAACCUGGGAAUUGCAUUUGAGACUGCGUAGCUAGGGUGCGGAAGAGGGGAGCGGAAUUUCCGGUGUAGCGGUGAAAUGCGUAGAGAUCGGAAAGAACACCAACGGCGAAAGCACUCUGCUGGGCCGACACUGACACUGAGAGACGAAAGCUAGGGGAGCGAAUGGG
rnacentral:rRNA from 1 species